UUUUUUUUUUUUUUUUUCCAUUUAUUUCCUAUUUCACCCCCCAAUCCUUUGGAAUUUCCAUAGAGACCGCUCAAGGUCUUUGGAAAUGGCAUUUGGCAACAGAAAGUUUUUUAUUUUUUAACGAAUCAAAACUAUCUUAAUCUUUUUGGUUAUUACACUUUGUUCUCCCUUUUUGAGAUGCGCUAGACAAAUAUUUGGAAAAUGAAAUUAGCAUUCAUCAAAAAACUUCAAGCACUCCUUAAACAUUAUCUGAUUAUCUAAUGUAAAACAGGCAUUUCUUAAACUUCAUCUAAUGUGAAAGUAAGAAAAGAGUGUCUAAGGUUUUUUAAAAAGUGUUAAAUAACAUUUUCCAAAUAUUUGAAUUAUACUACUUUUGUUUGUAGAAUAUUUGUUACUAUGACACACAAAUACUGAUUGGGAAAAAUUUUGUGUGUAAAAAGGCAAAAAAUUAAUAAUUAGGAAGAUUAUGGUGUUUACUGUUUGUUCUUGGCUCACAAUUUCAUGCCAUUGCAAUUACGCAACCUACCACUUAGAUUUAAAAAAAAAAUACAAGGAAAAAGUAGAACUUGAGAAGGGGAAGAGGAAGAUUUGAACCAAAUUUUUAAUUUUUGGAGUGUUAAUCUUAACCACUAAACUAAUAGCUUACCACUUGGUUCAUUGUAAAUACUAACAAUUUUUGUUUCCCAAAACAUAGUAAAUGGUCAUAUACCACAAAAAAAAAAGGGGGAGAGAGAGAGAGAGAGAGAACUUUGAAACGUGUAAUUGGAAUGGCACAAUGACAUUUAGGUCUACCACAUUCGUACUUAUAAAAUGCAUACCCCAUAAUGCAGUCCUUGACUGGAGAUUCGAAUCGUUCAAGUAAUUUAAGCAGAGUUUGGCGUCUGACAUGGGGGAAAUGCAAAUGGUUCGAGAUAGGAGUAGAAUCUCAAAAUCGUCGGAGCUUAUUCCAACUAGUGAAACAAUCGUUUCCAAAAUAGAAACUCCGCUGUCUACCGUAAUGGAAGAGGGAAAGAAUAAGAGAGAAGACAAUUCUCUCUUAAGAGGAUGUUUCCAGAAUCCAACAAGUACAGCUGCCAAAAACUACGGCGACAUUUACAAGCAACCAAAACGUACAACCGUUCUUACAAUUAGCAAGAACGUGGGAGAGCAUACGGAAGUAAAAUUGGUAUAAACGAAUUAAGUUAGGAACCUAAUCAAGGUCCACGAUUAAUUUACAUCCAGCUAAAUUAUCUCCCAAUUGAAUGGUUCAGAAUCACAUUCGAAGAGGCUAAACCGCCCACUCAUGAGUACGUGAAGGUAAAUUCCUUUGACUAAAAGUGAGAUUAUGUUCCGUAUCUUGAAGCAUAGACAACAGGAUUGCACAACUUUCUCAAAAUCGAUGGAAAAAAUUGACACAACUUAUCUUUCCAUAAAAUACUUCUUUAUUGGAUAUCUUAGGCAACAAAGAAUAGGAAAAUCAUGAGGAAUACAACCAAAACAAAAAAUAUUUUGAUCAUCAGCCAUCUGUUUGAUGAUAUACUGUUCAAGUACCUGACCAGCUGCCCUUGUGCCCCUUCCACAUUUGCAAGGGCAUCUUCCAUGUUUUCGUCAAUUCUGCCACUCAUAAAAUUAUGAAGUGAGUUUGAUGGCCAUCCUCGAGUAAGUAGUCCAAAAAGAGAAGAAUAAUAAAUCAGAAGUAGCAAUACUCCAAAUUGUAGUCUAUACUAUAGUCAAGUAUCUAAACAUGACAAUGAUUCAUUUCCAGACAAGCUCUAAACUAGUGCAUUUUCUUGUAUCAAAACAGCAUGUCAUGAUCAACGAAUAUUAUACAACACUGGCUCUUCAUAGCCAGACAGCAUGCUGUAAUCUAUAGUCAUGUUGUGAUAAACAAAUGUUUUAAUUUACAUUCUUAUGUUUUAUGCAUGCUGUGGCUCACCUAUCUAUAAAUGGUCGAUGAAACCUGUUCUACUAUGCACUCAAGGACGACAGAGCAAAGAAAAGAUCAAGAAUCACCAAUAUCAAUUUUUUCUCUUUUUAAUGUAUGAUGGACCAACAAAUCUUAUCAAAAGCCUUCAGGCUUGGAAGUAAGUCCUACUUUUGGCACAUAACUCCAAAGUCCUAAAGGAUUCAAUAUUUAAGACCUUACUGCCCCUUAACCCGUUCACAUGCUGAUUAUUAUUAGCUUUUAAGCAAAGUAUUGAUCACCAAAUAUUUUUUCCCCAUCUUAUGAUCCAACUUUCCAGUAUAGAAGCAAAACAGAAUUGGCAAAACAAGUCUUCUUAGUAAGUGACAUGACUUCAGAGUCAUCUGUGGGAGUUACAAUUCACGGUCAAAAAAACUUUGACCAGGCUUGGGAGCGCAAAACUAACCGAAAUAUGAAUUGUUGAUAAGAAUAAAAAUAGAUGCAUGCUGAACAACAAGUGAAGCCCUAUAGCCAAUAAAACCAGAAGUGAUAAUAGAAAAAAGAAUUCUGGAAAUAAAAGUAGCAAACCAACCUAAUAGCAAUUUCGCCUUGCUGAGAAACCAUUGUUGCCAAUUGAGUGAAAAUAUUGCUAAGCUCAUGUAUAGUUGACUCGACAUUAUGAAGGGCUUCAGCUCUGCUUUGCAUGUAACUGUCUUGCAAGGGAACCAGCUGCUGCUGCUGCUGGUUUUGCUGCUGCUGCAUCAAUGGUUGCGAUUCGCCAUCUGCUUGGUUCCUGGAAAACCAGAGAAGUUCACAAUGAGGUCCAAGUUCGCAAAGCAUCUAGAGCAGGAAUUUACAUUGGAAGGUUUUUUAGAAUUUGCUUUUUCAUAUACAAGAAUAUGAACCUCCUAGUGAUGCAUUCAGGGUAAAUUAAAUUUUUCAUUGAUCUAGUUGGAAAAAAUGAUUUUACAAUAGGAAGCAAAUGAAUUUCAAGGCAUUGCCAAAUUCCUAAUACAUUUUCUUCUCCUGUAAACCUUUUUUUUUUAAAUAUUCCUCGUCACAUUGUCAAAAGGAUUAUAAAACGUUCAGCACAGACAGAAAGAAGAGCCUUUAAUUGAUCAUUGGCAGCCAAAAAGUUUUUGAAAGAAUUCAACAUGGCAACAGUUAGUAGAAAACUUCCCACCUGUUUAUGUAUGACAAAAAAGAACGGUGACAAAAAAAAUUUCUAGCUAAACAUAGAAUGUCAAGAUUUAUCACUGGAAGAUUACUUGAUCUACAGGACAUUACAGUUCUGAAUCAGAGUUUAUUAAGAUAUCAUUAUCUCCUUGCCAGACUUCAAAAGCAAUGAAAUCUAGAGGAUAUUAAAAAGUUCAGCUCCUGACUAAGGCUCCACUGGCUCAUUAUAAUUAUAAUGCAAACAUAUUCAAGUCCAAGGCCAGAUCUGUAAACUAUCAUAUUUACCUUGGAAACAACUGAGAUGAAGAAGUGGAGCCAUUUGCCCAUGGAGGGGGAGAUAUUGCAGAAUUGGAUGAUGUUUUGCUCACCAAGGGGCGCUGGCGAACGAAAGGAUUGGUAGAUUCUUUUGUUGUAUUUGAAAACAACUGCCUUCGGUUUUCAUGAACCUUGAGGUUCUGAGGUUAAAAACAAUGGUAAUAUAUUUAAACAACUAAAACACAUCAAAGAAACAGAACCAACUGUAUCCCCAGAUAAACGUUAAUAGCUACCCCAUUUAAUAACAAGAAGUAUACCUCUGUCCGUUUGGUUAGUACAUUUUUGAACUCUUGUGUGGCACCCAUCAAGCUAUUCUUCAAGUUAUCGACAACUGUAGUUGAAUGUGCAGCGCUAUCAGUUGACAAACCACUUUCACUCUGGGAGUUGCUUAGGAGCUGGAGGUCUACCACGGCAGAGUUAAGUGCUGUAAUAUCCUGCUUGAUUACAGCUGUCAACUCUUGAAUUUCCACAGUUGGAUCAUCAAAAACUGAUGAUCUCUUAGCCACUGAAAUAACAUAAAUUGUUUCAAGACCUUUCUUUUGUUAUUGAAAAGAACAAAGAAGAUUCAACUUGAGAAUGGUGUUCAUGCAGCAUAAAUCUAGUUCAACCACAUAAAUUAGAAUACAAAUGCAGUCCCCCAGCAACUCUAAGAAGCAGUGACGAACUUUCCAAUAUGUACAGGGUUUGCAUUUCAAUGAGAAAUAACCCCACUUCAACUUCCUCUGAAAAUGGGCUAUUAGCACAAGUGAUCGUACAAAACAUUGUUCACAAAGUCAAUCAAUGGAAUAGUUUUGAAUAAGUCAAAUUAAGGUUUAUUAGUUUGCUUUUUCCAAGAAUACUACACCCUGUUCAAGCUCGUGGCUAGUUACAGCCAUAUUCCAUCCACAUCUUCAUUCUUAUAUGAGAUCUAAAUCCAACUGCUUGAAGCUACACAAGGCUAGUUACAGCCAUAUGACAUCCAAAUCUUCAGCCUAAUGGGAGAUCUAAAUCCAACUUCAAACAGCAACUCUAUUGAUUGAGACAAUUAGUUUCCCUUGUUAUCUUUCUUCUUAAAUUUUUUUUUGAACAACAACCUUCUAAAGAUGGCACACUUCAAACCAGCUAACUACUAUUAGAUGGCAUGGGGAAAAAAAUGCACUUAGUAGGUCCAUCCAAAUAUACUGUGAAUACUGAACCAUUGCCAGGGCAGUUGGUUAUAGUUAAUUACAAAAUAGCCGUGUAACGUAAAACUUCAGUAAUUAAAUCACUUCAAUUCCAGCAAAAGUGAGAUUAUAUACAUAUAUAUAAGAGUUAAAUGAGAACUCAGAUCGCUCCAAAUUAACGCUCCAUACCAUAUAUUAAUCAACAAUCCUGACAUGCAAUUUCGAAUUUUUCCAGUUCCUCCCAAGAAAUACUUUCCAUCCAAUUGCCUAAAUGCAAACCUAAACCUAAGGUAGAAAUUUAAGGAAUAAUUCAGUUUGGGAAAAAAAAAAGAAACGUAAAAAAGGAGGAUUUAGUACCGACAUUUAGCAAGCUUGGACAGUUUCUGAGAGGUGUGGUGGAUCCCUAGCGCGAUUCUGGAAGCUCUCCGGUUGAAUUCGGAUUGAAUCGGGGCAGCGGAUCGAGAAGGUUGAGCCGUGGAUGCGAAGCCCCCGCUGCCGGCGUCGUAGGCUCCGGCUCCGCUACUGCUGGGGGCAUUAGAAGCCGAGGACGAUGAUUUCCUGAGCCUGUCGGCGACGCUCUGAAACUCUAGCGUCCGAUCUCUGAAAGAAGUGGGUUUGACAGGCAUUGCUUGCUUUGGAGCAAGCGGAAAUUACAUAAAGAAAAUUUAUCUCGUCUCUUCUCUAAUUCUAAACGCGCUAAAUUGCAAAUGGAUGUGUAAGAAUAAACUUUGGAAAUUAAAAAAGAGUAGAUCUGGAACGGAGGUGCAGUGAAAUUUGUCGAAAGAGAGUCGAUAGCUAGAUACGGGGUGGUGACGUACUGUGCUGCGCCGAUUAUUUAAAAGGGUGUCAGAGAUGGGACCCCCGUUAACGAGUCUUGUUUGCGUGGAGAGGAAACGGGACAGGGUGGACUUUUGAUAUUCUGCGAGAAGUGAAAAUAAAUAAAUUGGAUUAAUUUUUAGGCUCUGUUGCCGUUCAGGAAUUUUAGCUCCCAUGAAGAUAAAUUCUUCCCCCAAAAAAAAACUCCCAUGAAGAUUACAAGCACGUCUUUGCAUAUUAGGAAAAACUUGGAAUUUUAGACAGAAACAGAAAAUUCUAGUCAAGCUUAUAUAGCGUGACAAAAUGUUUUUUUGGUUAGAGAACACAUUUCUAUCAAAAAAUCUUAUUUUUUUAUGAACACAUUUUUCAAUCACCUUUUUAUCUUUUAUAUAUAUAUAUAUAUAUAUAUAUAUAUAUAUAUAUAUAUAUCAAAUCACUAUAUUAUAUUUUCUAUAAAAACUUUAGAAAAUUGCAAUCCAAACACAACAUAAAUUACACACUAAACAUUGAAUUGAAGUAGAUUUUGACAGAUUUAAAAAAUAAUAUAGAGAAAAGAAGUAUCCAAGUUAAAGACUUUCAAACUGAAUAAAGUUUUGGUCCAAACUAAGAGAAUGAAGCAAAACUUAGAGUUUGAAGUCUAGAAUAGAAUAAUGAUUGCCAAAAUAAAAGAUAAUUUUACAUUAUAUGUUCAUCAAAUUCUAUUCAGUGAACCACUAGUAAAAGUGGUAAAAUGGAUAUAGAUCAUAAUUAGUAAAAGUGGUAAAAUGGAUAUAGAUCAUAAUUGGUAUCAGGAAUUAAAUGGUCCAAUUCGUUUAAAUUCAUAUAAUAAAUGGUUGUAUAUGGAUUCAAUCAAAAUGUUUGGAUAGUAAAUUUUUUCAAAAAAAAUUUUCUCUUGUAUCAUAAAUAUAUUUUUUAAUCCAUCUUUUUUUUUUAUUUUCAACCACCUUUUUAUCUCACAUACAUCACAUCAUAAAAAAGUACUAUAGUAAUUAUUUCAAAUAAUUAUUUGGAAUAAUAUCCUAUCCAAACAACAGUAAUUUCUUUAACUAACAACACGCAGCUUAAAAUGACACUCCUAAGUUAAUUAAUAAGAUGAGUUUUGAUAACUAAGAAGACUAAAAAUGGAAAAAGAAUAUAAAUAAAGCAUGCAAAAAUUUGGAAUACGCUGAGAAGAAACCUUUGACCGCGUGAGUUAGAAGAGCUGAAUAGCAUCUUGGAUUGGGAAUAUUUACUCAAGGGGUGUUUGUUUCACGUAUUGAAAUCGGAAAUGGAAAUAGAAUCAUGAAUUUUGAUUUUGGAAUUAAACUUUUCAUUCUAAUAUUUUAGUUUGAUUCACACACUGAAAUUAGUAUUAUUCUAAUUUCUGAUGCUUGAUUUGAUGAGUGGUUUGGAAUUAAAUACAAUUAAAAUCUAAAUUUACCCCUGAUAUAAAAAUGUGGAUGACCAUCUUGACUGGUUGACACAAUUGUAAAGCUGCAGAAAUUCUCCAACUCCAACACCUCAUCAUUCCAUUCAAUGGCCUUAAUAUUCCCUUCCUCCAAUUUUUUCACAACCUUUUCCUUGGAAAAAUGUCUGCAUUGUUUGGAGGAUGGUAGAUGAGAGGGGACCAAUGCAAACUUGGGUUUGCCUUUCUAUCCCAUCUUGACGGCUAUAACCUUUUCCUCAACGUCUCCUUGAUCUAGAGCGCAAUCACUAUGGUCAAUGUAUUGGUGUAUUUUAAUAACAUCUUAAUUUUUUCUUGACCAAAUCUUUACAAUGAGUUAUAAUAAUUCAUUUGGAAGUUAUUUGAAUUAUAAUUGUGGGAGUUUCAUUACUAGGAGUUAUAAUAAUUUAUUUGGGAGUUAUGAGAAUAAUAAUUGUGGGAGUUACAAUGCAUUUUAAAUGGAGUUAUUAUACAAUUAUUUGAAUUAGAGUUACAAAUGAAUUAUUUGUUCAAAUGAGAAUUUAAUUGAGUCUUUAUAACCCAUUCAAAUGUGGAUUAAUUUUUUAGGUUACAAAUUCUACCAAUUGACUACAAUUUAAUAUGGAAAAACCGUUACACAUUUUCAACCCCUUUUUCUUAAGAUUUUGUAGCUUAUAAAUAGUGAAAUUCUUUGGAGAAUUUAUAUAUACACUUCUCUCAACAAAAAAUCAUUAUAAAUACUAUUUUCCUCACACACAUUUAUUUCUCCCUCAUUCUAUUUUCUUUGGGCAAAGUAAGAUAUUGGGAAACAUCUGCUUCUCUUGGUUGUGCAGAUCAAAGAGAAGCAACAACUAUAGAGUUGGGUUGUUGUAUCCUGGAGGCGGCGCGCUAGACCUUCUGCAUCGGUUUAAAAAAUACGGUAGAGGCGCGUAUCGUCUUAAAGAGAGCGUUUAACGCGUCUCAGUCCUAUCGAACUUUUUAGUAGCUGUCAAUUCAAGGUGGUCGGAUUGAAGAUCAGAAGCUGUUCAUCCAAUAAUUUUAAGAUCUAGUUUGCGCAUCAACCCAUGCCAAAAUAACUUUGAUGGUACAAAUUAUUUGUAUUUAUUAAUGCAAUAUUGAGGUAUGAGAUUUUAUGGAUUUCUUCGUUAAAUUUUUACCAAAGAAAUUACUAUUACUUAUAUGAUUAAUUUGGUCUAGAACCAACACAAUGUCGAUGUCAUCAUCAUCCGAACAUCCUAGGAGGAGGAGGAACUUCAUGGAUUUUCACCUUCACCUUGUACCUUCUGGUGGUCAGAGUCAGCCACGGCGACCACUUCAUCAUCUUCACCACCGUCCCUUCUGAUUCAAUUGGAAUUUGAUUAAACAAAUCCAAUACAAGCUAGUUAGUUGAAAGAAACAAAAAAGGGAAGGAGAAAACUAGAAAAGAGAAAAAGGAAAUAUUUUGUCGCUGAGGGUUGAGGGUUGAGUUUUCUUUUUCAGUUUUUCUUACAGAUCUUUCUCUUGGAGAUUUUGUUGAACAAAUUAUCUACUCAAGAUAUUUGUUCACUGUUAAUCCAUUUAGAUCUACUUUAGAUCUUUUUUUUAAAGAGAUUUUGAAUAAGAGAUGAAGAAUAUAUGGGAUGAUAAAAAAACUGAUGAAGAAGAACAAGAGAGCGGGGGGCGUGUGAUAGAAAGAGAGAGAGAGAGAGAGCAAAGGCGGUAAUUGUAUGUCAUGGGUAGAUCUAUCCAUAAAUGUUGUAAAGGAAUAAUUUGAGGGUUUUAUCCAAAACCCUUAAUUUGUUCUGGAAUGGAAGAAGUCCGAUUUUUUUAGAAAUGAUUCCAAAAAGUGCAUUCCAAUAGAUUUAACCAAGCAACAAAUAAGGAAAUUAUUUCAUUCCGUGAUUCGCAGUUCUUUUAACCAAGAGGCCCAUCAUAAGAAAAUAGUGGUACUACCAAAACAUGUUGGGUUUGCUUGUUAUCUUCUUAAAUGAAUUUCGACAAAUUAUAUUUUACCCCCCAUAUAGUUUAGUAUUUUUAUACAUAAUCCCUUAUGAUUUCAAAAAUUAUACAUAACCCCCUUAUGAUUUGAAUUAAAGUGUCAAAGUGACAAAAAUGAUCAUUCAUAACGGAACCUUUAAAAAUAUUGAAAUUACCGUUAUUUAAAAAUUAAAAUUACUAAAAUGAUUAAAAUAUAUAAAUAUAAUAUACAUGACGAUCUAAUUCUGUAUGAUUUUAUACUUUACCAUAUAACUCUCUUAUGGUUUAAUGUUUUACCAUAUAAUCUCUUUAUAAUUUUCAAAAUAUGCACAUAACCUUCCUGAGGUUAAUAAAUAAUUUUUAAUUUUACAUAGGGUAUUUUUGACAUUUUAGGUGACUCUAUUAUGGAUUGCAAGUUCCGUUACUUUGACACUCUAAUUCAAAUUAUGAGAAGGUUAUGUAUAGAUUUUGAAAUCAUAUGAAAGUUAUGUAUACAAACACUAAAUCACGGGGGGAUAAAGUGUAAUUUGUCCAAUGGAUUUAGAUGGAUUGCGUGGACGAUCCACUUGAAACCAUCAAGCCAAUUGGUUUUAUUUGGAUGUCCAUUAAUGUCCAUCUAAAUUUUUUUAAUAAUCCAAAACCAUUUAAGUGAGAUGGAUAUGGAUGGUUAAAUGGAAAUUGCCACCUCUAACCGCUAGCAUAUUUACAAAGAAUAUUGGAUCAAAGGAAUAAAUGAGACAUAAUCAAAGAGAUGCAGAAUCCUCAAUUAUAAUCCAACUCUACAAAUAGCCACUGUUAUAAUCUGCACAAAUAUAUGUCAGACUCUUGAUUUUCCACUAAAAAAAAAAAGAAAAAAGAAUACUUCUCUCCAUGUCGCUGUCUAAAUAUUAGGAGAUGAGAAGCAAAAACAUAACGCAUCCUUCAAGAACAGCCAGCAAAAUGUUCAGCAGUGUCUUGUGCAGCAGUACCAUUGAAUGACCAUCUGCAAUCAUCACUGGGAACUGACAUUCAUCAUCAGAGGGAUCUUCAUCUGUGACAACGGCCAAGCCUGAGAAAUCACAAUCCCAUCCAUUCUGGUUUUUGAAUUGAUAAUACAUGUUAAAUGCAUAGGAAGCAUUACCCUUGGCACUCAAAUGAUUGCAGGAAGAACCAUACCCCAAUGAAGUACAAUCUGAAAGACUACAUGCAUAAUCAAUAUUUUUGGGUAAUUCUUCUAAUUCUUUAGCACGAGGGUCCAAAAUACACCACCUCCUUAGCAUGUAUCUUACACCUUCAACUGCAACUAGACCUUUUUCUUCCCGAGACCCUGACAAAUCCAACUCAUAUUUUGGCUUCCCAUCAAAUUCAAAAAGUCCCCAGUGCCUCUCAAAGCUGCCAGGCUCAAUGCUUUUGGCAUUCUCAUCUAUUAGGCUAAAAAGGUACACAUCUAUGCUGCCAUUUCUAGCAGGGGUUCCAACUCCACCAGAAACAUGCUGAAUCAAUCCCUGAUUAAAUCUUUUUGCAUUCUGGAUAUUGGCAUUCUUAUCCCCAUCCGUUGGCCACCCGACUUCUCCAAUAAUGAUCUUCAUCUCAGGGUACCCAGCUCUACUUAAUGAGGAAACAAGAGUAUCAAAAUUUGCAUCAAACACGUUGGUGUAAAGAUAAUCACCAUCUUUUAUAGGCUUGUUUGACCCAUCAAAGAAAGCAUAGUCCAGAGGAAAGUAAAUGUUGCCAUAGAGGCUGAGAAAAGGAUAGAUGUUAACAACAAAAGGGGCAUCAUUCGAAUGGAGAUACUGGAUUAUCUGGACCGUGAGGUCGCGUAUUUCCGGCCUGAAAUCACCAGCAGAAGGGACCGGAUUUGAUUCCGGCGAGUUGUAAACGUCGGCAUUGAAAGGAAUUGUUGCUUUCACGACUGUUCCAAGUCCAGCAUGGUUGAUGGCUUCUUGGAUAUUCUUCAGGGCCGACAGUGUGUAUGGCAGGAAGGAAUUAUUAUAGCUCUUCAAGAAGGGCUCAUUGCCGACUGCAACAUAUCUACAUUUUCAUUGUUCAGGUUGUUAAUUACUCAGAAACAAACUUAUCAUAGGAAACAAAAUAAUCUGUUUCAUUUAGUAACCCGGAUAUCCCUGGAUUCUGCUGGUAAAAAUAAAGAAACUUUACAGGUGAUGGCAGAAAAGGUUGAUUAUCAACAGCAAGAGAAUGCAAUCCCACUGCCUCCACCAUCAAAACAGUAAAAACCCAAGAAACAGCUAUAAAGAGCUCUCACAUGACAAAAGUUGGCAAAAGUCUAUAAAGCUCUCAAAUGGCAAAUUUGGCAAAAAUCUAUAAAGUUCCAAGAACUCACCAGAAAAGGAUAAAGAGAAGAACUAAACAAAGAAAAAAGAUGCUCUGUUUUUUUCCCAUGCAAUACCGUCAGAAGUCAUAUUGUUCUCUCCCAAAAUCCCAAAACAAAGUCGACCAAGAAAGAUGUAGACUGUAGAAUCUAAUUAAGGAAAAUUAUCAAUGCGAGUCAACCUGAUGUUUACCCCUCCCUUGAAGCAAUAAGCAGUGACGUUGGCAUCAACCCAAGAAGCAGCAGCCUCGGGAUCCUGACUGAUCUCCCUCAACAUGUUAUUUGGAAUUCCGAGCAUCACUUCAAGAUCGGUUCCAAUCAAGGCUCCCAAAAUUUUCUCAUCCGCUUCAAACAGCUUCACUUUAUCAAACCCAUUAUCUAACAUCAUCUGAACCACAUUUUCAGGAGGCAGCUGGUGGGAUGCCAUGGUACCCCAGUUCACUCCCAAGCUUGAAACCCUUGAGACCAUGACAAGCAAACAUAAUAAUAGAACAGUUACCGCAUGUCGAUGAUAGUUAAUGAGCCCUUUUCUUGCUUGUCUCAUUUUUGUGAAUAUUUUCUUGAAAUCUCUGCUUUCGUGAAUCAAGAAAGUCGGCAACUUUGAUUAACAGUGAUUGCGUAGGUAAGGAAUGAAAUGGGAAGGGAAGGGGGAUUCGUUCUUGUUUAGAUUGGAUAUAUAUCUAUAGGCGCACCGGGAUGAUGAGGGGUGAAAGCAUUCACACUCUAGUCUAGACUGUCUAGUCACUCUGCUUUCUGUUAUAAUAAUGAUUUUGUGGGAUUGGUGAUUGGAUAUUGGAAAAAACUUCAUGAAAUCUACGCACCAAAAAAGUUUGGCCAGAAACGUCGAAGGAAGAAAAAGGACGGAAGAUUCCUUUUUUAAUUCAGUUAUUAAAUUGUGAAAUGAGACCCAGCCAUUUAGGGCCUCUAAGACCUGUCACAGUCGGAAACUGAUCAUAACGGAAUUCCAACUGGAAAGGAAUAAAACUUUGAAGUGUGUAAAAAUUUUAUUUCAUAGGACGGAAUGCAAUUUGCAUCAGGAUCCUUCGUUAAUUGGAGAAUUUCUAGAGAAGCUUUCAAUUAUGGGAUGCAAAGGAAAAUGUGCAUGAAUGGUACUGUCAUUUUUUCACAAUCAGACAUUGGAAUUCGGAAGGAAAAUGAAUGUUUUGCAUUAUCUUGGUUUUGAUGCACGGAUAUAGUACAGUGUAUCAUGCAACGCAUCAAAGAGUUGAAAAACGAGAUGUUACAUUCCGAACUUCGAAUGAGGAUUCACAGAUGCGGUAUUUUGGUAGGCAUGUUGCCGGUAAGCAUUUGGGAUCCUCGAUGACAUGUUUUCUGUGCCAAUCCAAUGCCACCUAUAAUAUUGUGCCAAGUGUCCUGUUAUUAUUUAUACUUAUGUUAAACCAAACCAAGUUGAAUUAUUAGAAAAUUAAAGUGUAAAUAAUAACAGGACACUUGGUACAAUAUCAUAGGUGGCAUUGAAUUGGCAUAGAAAAACAUGUCAUCGAGGAUUCCAAGUGGCCUGUAAGGAGGAGCGUAUAUUGCUCUGGUCUUUCUCCCUUGCUAAUCUUCCCAAUGGCGGAGCCAGAAAUUUUUUUUUUCCUUUGGAAGGCCAAAAUUUUUUCUAACAAAAUUAUCUUAAUAUGUUAUGUUCAAAAUAAUUUUCAUCUAUUUAUAUAUAUAUAUGAACGUGUAAAAAUAUCAAAUAUUAACUUUAAUUAUAAAGAUAUGUAAAAAAUAAAUAACUUUUUUUGAAGAAAAAAUUUAUUCAAUGUUGGCUAAUUCAUAUAUAUAUAUAUAUAUAUAUUCUCAUAAUAUAAACUAAAAUUUUAAAAAUUAGGGAAUGUCAGCUUUGUUUUAGGCAUAUAUUUACACAUUAUAGAUUAAAAAUUUUCAAUACUUGGGGGAGGGGGCCAUGCCCCCAUCAGCCCCCUUGGUUGGUUCCAUCAUUGACCAAACAUAAUCAAUCACCCUUGUUUAUUUUUUGCUAUAUAUUGAGGUUUUGUAAACUUCAAGGCCUUCUAUUUUAGUUAACCAACUCGUAGUUAAGGUCAUGACAAAAGUAUGAACCUGUAUAAGCAGCCUUUUUUUCUUUAACUAUUUCCAGUUAGCAGAAAAAAAAUUUUUUUUUCCUUUUCUGGUUAGCAACUUGAAGGUCAUGAAAAAAGUAUGGACCCCCAGAAAAUUUGUAGACCAUAGUGGAUGAUUUAGUUAGUACUUAGCAGAGGCCAUUGACUCCUUUAACAGAAAGAUACCAUCGCAAAUCCCUCAACUUUCCAACGAAAAUCUACGUGUUUCGAUCUCAUGCAAACUUCCUUUCUUAUUUUAUUUUGAUCUUUUCUUAUCAAAGUUUCAGCUUUAUACCACCUUUUCAUCGUCAGCUAAAAGCGUGGUGCAAUCCAAACAAGAGGAUAGGCAUCAUGUUGAAAGAUAUGAUUUCUUUAGCGGCCAUACCCAGUUUUCUUUUUGUCUUUCUUUUUCCUAUGGGGUUCCCUUUUUCCAACGUGGGUGUCACAGAAGAGUGUAAAAAAAAAAAGAAAAAGAAAAAGGGAUUUUAAGCGAAUAAAAAUCUGUCCACGAUGAAUUAUUAUACAGAAUAACCAAAUUAAGCUAAGCCGAAGAGUUAGGUAAUUGUGUAAAACUGUGUUCUUUUCCUUGUUUGGACCUUGCAUGCAGCAGCCUUGACUGACACUGACCUCGUGUACUGGCAUUGGAUGCAUGGGACGAAUUUAUAAAAAGAACAAGGAUCUGCAGUAUGAAGCAUCCCUUGGUACUUGUAGUAGAUUGCAAAAAAAAAUAGAUCCUAGGGUUCGUGCAGGCCAAAUUGGGAAAUGUAUUCUAGAAAACAAUUCAUGCUCAGCUCCAAUACAAAUCCAAGCAGAAGUAUUCACCUCGGUGAAACCAGUAGAAGCCUGAAACUCAACGUACGAGUGGUAACUCCGGUCCAUCUUUCGUCUCCACAGUUGACGAAGCCAACUCUCAAAAGGGAGGGUGGAGAGGAGAUGGUAAUUGCAGCGAUGUGAUCAUCUAUAGUGUCUCUCUCGUGGAGUUUUAUCACCGUAUAUUGUUGUAAAAGGAUUCAAGAAGAACAAACUACGUUGGUUUUUCUUGGACGCUGGCAACCAACCAUCCUUGGAACAAUAAUGUGUUUUUGCAUGUAUGAGGCCUGGCAUGCUUAUGUCGCAGAAUGGCUCAUGUCGGGUGGUAUCCGAUAUGGAGAGGAGAAAAUUGGCCAAUUGAUGGGUGGUAGGAGGGUUAAAGUGGGAGUACCACUAAUGGAUGGACAAACUGCAUGGAAAGCCCGCCGUCUCCCGGCAACAAGGUGCAAUAAUGUCAUCGUUAAAAUGAGUAAAGCCCAGCUUCUCCUCGGCUUUUCCGGCUCAUCUUCAUCUCCACAAGGAGAUGGCAUCACAGUUGUUUGUUCCGUAUUCCUACUCACACUUUCAUGGAUCCAUUGACGAGGGACUGACAGCAAACAGGAAAACGAAAUUAGUUAUAUGCUUAAAAAUGAAGACAAAAGGGAUGAGGGGAAACUCAUAUUAUUGGUUAAAAUAAUUUGCAGAAAUGUCCAAUUCGAUCUAUACAGUCUAUGCUUACACCGUUAGGUCUCUUUUCUUCCAGUAACACACCAAGUUCUUCAUACGCAGCCAAGCGUAACACUUAAUGAUUAGAACAAAUAAUUGCAGUAUGGCAUUAAUUAUGUGUAAUCAAUCGCUCCACUAACUUGAUCAAUUUGGUUGCUUUCCUCUCUUUGUUGUGAAUUUUUUUUUUUUUUUUUUUUUUUUGUGAAUGACUGUAACAGUAGAACCAAUAUAGGGAAGUGGUGAACAGUGACCAAGCUACCAAAUAGUAUCAGGAUAUGAUUAGCAUGCUUCUCAAAAUAUGUAUAAAUGGACAAUUCAAGCUGGCAAAACGGUCAAAAAACACAAUUAAAAAAAAAAAAAAAGUGUAGAACUGAAUUGAAUUAUAAGUCUUUUAAACAGAAUUGGUUUGAACGACUAAUUAGACCUUUAAGGACGAGUUAACUUUCAAGAAUUAAAGUGAAAAAUAUUACACGUUGCUUGUAUGUAAAUUUAUUCUUUUGCAAUCCCUUUGCGUGUCUUUGUAUUGUUUGGAUUGCACAUUAUUUAUACUUUAUUUGCACGCUGACUUACUUUAUUAAUACAAUUUUUAAUUUUUUUUAUUUCACAUAUAUCAAAUCAAAAAAGUGUUACACUAUUUUUUUUUGAUAAAAUUAUCUCGAAAAAGUGCUACUAUAUUUAUUCUUUUCCAAUUCGCCCCAUGUCUCCAUACCUUUUAAAUUCUUUUCCGGAAGGCCCGUUUUAAAGCAGCAGGCCAGGGGAUGUUUGGGGGGGCGGGGGGCGAGCGGGGAAUCAUUUCCCCACAUCAUUUAAUAAAUUACAUAGAAAUUUUAUAUAUCCAUAUAAAUUAGUAUUAGUUAACGCUUAAUUAGCUAUUUGUAACUGGAAUUAAUUAGUUUUUUUUAGCUAGAAUAUUACUAAUAGUAACAGUAUUUUAUUUAUAGUUGUUCUUUUUUCCUCUUUUUUUUUAAAAAAAAAAGUUUGAUGAGUACAAGAAGAAAGAACUUAUAAUUCGAAACUAUUCUGACAAACCCUUAAUUAUAAGAGCUAAGAGGAAUAGCUACAAUCGGUCAAGUAGACUGGAGAAAAUAAAACGAGGGAACAAGAAUCAAGACUGAAGUCCUCCUGUCAUGUUACUUCUUUAUUCGCUACAAACAAGAUGUUCAUCAGCCUGCUUUAAGGAAAUCUAACAAGACAACUAGUUGAACUAUUUCAAGAGUUCUCGCGGAAUUUCCAGUUAUCUAAAUUUAUCUAGACCUAUCAUGCAUAUAUAUGCUCCUUGAAUUGCUACCUCACCAUGCCAACAAGAAGUUCGGUCACUAGUACAAGGGAGAGGCAGGGGCGGGGGGAGUUACUUGUUGACGGGUGGCCCUGCCCCAAAAUCGCCCUGUUGCCAUCCAUUACUCCAUAUUCAAGUCAUUGUAACUGUACUAAGCAUAAGCAUGGCCAGGAGUAGUGAUAAGGCAAAAUAUUAGUGGAGUUUGGAUUCAUCGAUGUACAAUCCCAAGUCCUUAUAAAGGUACUAAGCAUGAGCAUCGUCAGAGGUUACUGUAAUUGUAAGGCAAAAUAUGAAUGGAGUUUGGAUUCGUCCAUGUACAAUAUUAAGGCAUGAGCAUAGUCAGUAGUGUAAUAAGAAUAGUUUGGAGCAGUAGUUAGAAUAUUAGCAGAGUUUGGAGUAGAAGAGGGAAGGGGCAGGCAGUAGAAUGGUAGAAGUGGAACUAGAGUGGUUGUUGGGGAGGCAGGCAGCAGGCUUGGUUUUGCAUCUCCCCUUCCCUGCAAAAGAAAAGUUAUAUAGGUAAUAAAUCAUCGCUAUUCAUUACUCCACAAUGGGAAGAAAAAAUUGCUCCAAAAUUUACUUGUUUUGUCUCACUUCUGGGUGGAGGUACCCAUGAACUCAGUGGCAUUUCCUACAAAAAUUUUCAGGUUAAUCCAAGUAACUUCAUUAAUCUUUUCUUUUUCAGUUCUUCGUUAAAAUAUAUAUAUAUAUAUAUAUAUAUAUAUAUAUAUAUAUAUAUAUAUUCCAAGUAAGUUCAGCAAUCUUUUCUGUUAAGAAUUCCUUAAUUUCUGAUCCAAGUAAGUUUAGUAAUAUUUUCUAUUAAGAAUUCCUUAAUUUCUGCAAAUUAUAAGAAGUAUGGUACGUUUCAUGUACCUCAAGGUUAUCAACAUCAUCCGCAGCAGUAUCAUUAAGGUUCAUAUCCUGUUAUAAUCUAUUUGUUAAUUCACACACACCAAAUGACGUUGAUUUACGAUUCAUGAUUUUUUUUUUUUUUUUUUUAUAUAAGAAAAUCAUGAAUCGUGAAUCAACGUCAUUUGGAGUGUGUGAAUUAACAAAUAAAUUAUAGCAGGAUAUGAUUUGAACACGUAACAUAUACGUAAAAUAUGAUGGUAGAAUUAAGUAAAAUCUCACCUCUUUUUAUCCACCAAAUCAAGUAAGCGGCCAUUUGAUGUCGCAACCAAAUGUAGAUUCUUGUUUUCUGCUGCUUCAUCACCAUCAAACACCGCUUCCUGAACCCAUUUCUCAGGCGACUUUUGCGUCGAGAAUCAGACGGUGGUGGGAUUAAGUAAGAAAUGCUCAUGGUGGUGGAGAAUGGAGACUCCUCAAAUUUUGGAUAUCAGCCAUGGGAUCGAAUUAAGGUAGAAGAAGAUGGACUGAGUUGAGACUUGGGACUUGGGACUUGGGAGCAGGGCAUGGGAAAACCCGUCAUAUAUAGAGAGACCAAAGACAGAGAGAGGCGCUAGCGACUCGUGUCAGCUAUCGCGGUCCCUUUGUUUACGUUAGAGGUCAAAUCAUGACAAUGGAAACUACUACCUGAAAAAACACCUGAAAUCCUCGGUGACAUGUUUUAUAUGCCAACCCAAUGUCACCAAUAGUGUUGUGCCAAGUGUCUUGUUAUUAUUUACACUUUAAUUUUUUAAUAAUUCAACUUGGCUUGGUUUAAUACAAGUUUAAAUAAUAACAUGACACUUGGUGCAACACUAUUGAUGGCAUUGAAUUGGCAUAGAAAACAUGUCACCGAGGAUCCCAAGUGCUGAAAAAAUGCAUGCUCACAAAUUCUCCUCUUUUUUUUUUUUUAAAAAAAAUUUAAAUAAAAUGUUCACUUUUUCCUUGCAAUUUCUUGCCUUCCAUUCAUACUUGAGAAUAAUCUUUAUCGUCUUUUGUCUCAUAAAACUCUCAAAUAACGUUUUAAUGUUUACAAAUUUGUCUUUUCUCUUGGUUUUCUUUUCCUUAAUUUAUAUUCUUUUUUUGGUUUUCCCUUGCUCUUAAAACUCACACGCUAGACUUAGCAUCCUAUACUUGGCAAUUAGUUUGCAUCUCAUUCUUCGAAAUCUUCUGCUAUGAACCAGAGGUGCACAGAUGCACCCUCUUCAUCGAGCCUAUAUCAGCAGGAAAACAAAAAUUCUCAUCGAGCCUAUUUUAGCGUACUCAAGUAAAUGACCGUCAUGUCGAUCUGCAAAAGUCCUUAUUUUCAUUGCCAAGAGUAGUAGUAUAAGCAUGUAAUCAAAACUCACAGAACUUCCAUAACCCCCCCCCCCCCCCCCAAAACAACAAAAAAUGUAUUUGAAGAAGCUUUCUAAGGAGAUUUCAUGGCGCAUCAUGAGUAAGUGACCGUCAUGCUUCAACCUUCAUCUCACCUAUGAAAGUUUGUUUCGUGAAAAUAUAAUCCUAACAAGCGGUCCCGGACAGUUAAAAGAGGGACCAAGCCCUUAUUGGUCCUCAUCCAAUUGUAGGGUAGCAAUCCACCACCCUAUCUACUCUUUGACAAGGCUACAAAUUGAGGUGGGAGUAAAGGAUGACCUCGUCCUCCCGCUAGACUCAUUUAAGGCACAAGUAGUGAGGCAGCCUCUAAAGGUUACCCCGCUAUGCAAACCACAUCUCUGACCAUGAAGUUGAUGCGACAGAGAAAUUUGCUUCUCCGAUCACCUACAUGUGGGGCAAUUGAUUAAGAAGCCCCCCCAUAACCAACCAACCAAAUCCCAAUUGCUCCUCAAGUAUGCAUGUCAGUGGAAAGAUAUGGUGAAAUCAUGCAUAGUGGAAGGAAUGAAGAUCAUUUGAUGAUCCAUCAUGUUAUUGGGUGGACUAUAGACUGUAACUUCCCAUAUAAUCCUUGUUUAAUUAGUUCAAUUUAUUUGGUUGUUCAUCUGAUGUUAUUCAUCAUCAAGAGUUGUGCUAUCUGGUGACAAAACAAAAAAAAAAAAAAAAAAAUUUGCUUGCAAAAGCACCCGGAAGUCAGUGACAAAUUAUCAAUACAGUAAUAUUAACACUGCUGUUUACGCGUUCCUCAAAAAGAAAUCAUCAAGGCGUAAGACCUAGAUUCGAUGACAAAUUCAUCCAUACAAGAUCAAUUUUUCAAGUAGAUUCAUCAUCCACGGGCUACAACUACAAGAGGAGAAAUAGCUCUCCAGUUCUGAACAGAGAGUUUUGCCCCUUUUCCUCUCCAACUCCUGUACAGCUAUCAAGACAAAUGGGGAUGAGUCCAUUGACCUUAAGCAUAAACAUCUCUUGACCAAACGAUUUCAGCCCAUUUUUGGACUGCAGCACCUACCCUUGAUCUCUAAUGACCUUUAAUUGCUGAACCCUUCCGUUUCGGCCAAGAUCAAGAUUUGCCGGAUCAUAUCAUCAAAAAGAAUCACAUGGGUUCUCCGUCUCGCUUCCGGGGGCGUCCCCUGAAUUGCUGUCGGACAAGAUACUCAAUUUAUUGAGCUACUAAUCUGAUAAGGUGUGAUCGUGCCAACACAAAAGCAUGGUGACGCAGCGCCUGAGGAUGUAGAUUCUUGUUUUCUGCUGCUUCAUCACCAUCAAACACCGCUUCCUGAACCCAUUUCUCCGGCCGCUUUUGCGUCCAGAGCCAGACGACGGUGGGAUUAAGUAAGAAAUACUCAUGGUGGUGGAGACUGGAGACUCUCUGCCUGGAACUUCGGAAAUUAGCUUUGAGAUAGAAUUAAGGGAGAAGAAGAUUGAUUGCGCUGGGAGCAGAGUAUAGGAAAGCCCGUCAUAUAUAGAGAGGCCAGAGAGAGAGAGGCUAGUGCUAGAUAUCGUGGUCCCGUUGUUUAAGUUUGCGGUCAUAUCAUAAUAAU
rnacentral:lncRNA from 1 species